CCGCUGCGGGUACCGGCGGUGCCCGGUGGGUUGCAGCCCGACCUGGCGCUGUCGUACUCGUCGGCAGCCGUGGAC
rnacentral:tRNA from 1 species